AUUGAACGCUGGCGGCAGGCCUAACACAUGCAAGUCGAACGAGUUGCGGACGGGUGAGUCAUGUCUGGGAAACUGCCUGAUGGAGGGGGAUAACUACUGGAAACGGUAGCUAAUACCGCAUACCCUAAGAUGUGCCCAGAUGGGAUUAGCCUGGUGGUGGGGUAACGGCGCACGAAGGCGACGGUCCCUAGCUGGUCUGAGAGGAUGACCAGCCAGACUGGAACUGAGAAACGGUCCAGACUCCUACGGGAGGCAGCAGUGGGGAAUAUUGCACAAUGGGCGCAAGACUGAUGCAGCCAUGCCGCGUGUAUGAAGAAGGCCUGCGGGGUGUAAAGUACUUUCAGUGGGGAGGCGGUACCCGCAGAAGAAGCACCGGCUAACUCCGUGCCAGCAGCCGCGGUAAUUC
rnacentral:rRNA from 1 species